GCCCCCGUAGCUCAGUGGAUAGAGCGAUCCCCUCCUAAGGGAUAGGUCACACGUUCGAUCCGUGUCGGGGGCGCCA
rnacentral:tRNA from 5 species